UACGUAGGGGGCAAGCGUUGUCCGGAAUUAUUGGGCGUAAAGAGCUCGUAGGCGGCUUGUCGCGUCGACCGUGAAAACUUGGGGCUCAACCCCAAGCCUGCGGUCGAUACGGGCAGGCUAGAGUUCGGUAGGGGAGACUGGAAUUCCUGGUGUAGCGGUGAAAUGCGCAGAUAUCAGGAGGAACACCGGUGGCGAAGGCGCUCAUCUGGCCCAAUACUGACGCUGAGGCGCGAAAGCUAGGGGAGCAAACGGG
rnacentral:rRNA from 1 species